GGUCCGCUGGCUCAAUGGCAGAGCAUCUGACUACGAGUGGUGAUCGGAAGGGUUCAAGAAUCCUUGAUUAAACAAGUUAUCAGGAGGCUCCAGGUUCGACCCCUAGGUGGAUCG